ACCUAACCAACCAAUCGUAUUGCUUUCGUCUUCUAUCCAAAAUGUAACUCUAGUUGUGAACUUAGUUCACACUGUGGUAAUUAUCCUUGUGACAUGAUUAUGACUUACGUUGAUUGUCUCUGCAACUGUUUAAUUGUGUGUGAUAGCCGGACGAAAUUAUUCAAUUUCAACAGAAGGAGCACGGUCAUUGGUAUAUUAUAUAUUUAAUUAUAAUUAACACAAAAUAUAUUAUUUGGGCUUCUACUAAAGUGGAAAUCAUCAAGGCCAUCAAAAGUGCAAAAAGUGAAAAGGCAGCAGGCCCAGGUGGUAUAUAUGAAAGCAGACCCUAAACAUCAGAUGAAUUGUUACAUUUGCUAAUGUGUAAGAUUUGGGAACAAGAACAAAAAUGGCAUACCAUUAACCCCAACACAACAUAAAGUAACAUCUGUAAUAUAUAAGAUAAGAAGAUGUAGAAGACUUGGAUGUUGUUGAUGACAUCUGCCUCUUCUUUCAUAUGCAACAAAACAACCAAGCCAAACUGACAAGAUUUUCUGAAUCAAUAAAAAGAAAACUGAGGCUAUGUGAAUCCCAAUCAUACUACUGGGGGAUACAUCCUCUAUACCGUAAAUGUUACCCCUGGGAAGUAUGAUUAGCCAAAACAGUGGAACUGAUCAUGAUAUAAGAAAUGGCAUUACUAAAGCUAGAUUUGCCUUUAACACUCUUCACUCUAAAGUACUGUCUUUACAAAUUAAGAUCUUGAUCUUUAACAUGAACGUUAAUUCGGUUCUUCUAUAAAGUUCCAAGACUGUUCCCUACUCUGGACAUUCAAAAAGAUAUCAUCUACUGUCAACUACAAAGGAGAGAACAAAACAAAACAAAACAUACCCAAAGAUAUAUUUUAAAGCAAAAAUGGAGCUGGAUAGAAAACUCUGGAAAACUACUAGAUCUACCAAUAUUGCAAAGCAGCCACUUGAUUUGAUUUCGGCUUAGAAAGAGGAAAGUGGACAGGUUCAAACAAACCUGAAAGAUGUCAGAUCAGCGAAGCUGAGGAUACUGGAAUGACAUAUCAUGCAUAUGCCAUGGGAGAAGAAUUAGCAGACUCAGCACAGAAGAAGGAAGGCACACAGGAAUAAGUCAAAUUAAACAUGAACCAUAACAAGGGUGAGAAAUUAGAACUGCAAUCAAGUCAGCACUAGACAAUGGAUACAUUUUGUUUCUUUCUCUCAUUAUGUUUCUGUAAUAUCUCACACUUUUUUUGUUUUUACAUUUUCCUAUUUGAUGUAUGAUAUAUAUAUAAAUUAAUUGAAAAUUCAUUAAAAGGUGAAAUAAAGAAAACAC